CCAUAUCAUAUUGAAACAUUGGUUCCCAUACAAUCACUGAAGUUAAGCAACAUCAAGCCUGGUGACUAGCUGGAUGAGUAACCACUUGGGAAAUCCAGGUGCUGUAGG